rnacentral:rRNA from 1 species
AGUGAACGCUGGCGGUAGACCUAACACAUGCAAGUCGAACGGCAGCACAGUAAGAGCUUGCUCUUACGGGUGGCGAGUGGCGGACGGGUGAGGAAUACAUCGGAAUCUACUUUUUCGUGGGGGAUAACGUAGGGAAACUUACGCUAAUACCGCAUACGACCUACGGGUGAAAGCAGGGGAUCUUCGGACCUUGCGCGAUUGAAUGAGCCGAUGUCGGAUUAGCUAGUUGGCGGGGUAAAGGCCCACCAAGGCGACGAUCCGUAGCUGGUCUGAGAGGAUGAUCAGCCACACUGGAACUGAGACACGGUCCAGACUCAUACGGGAGGCAGCAGUGGGGAAUAUUGGACAAUGGGCGCAAGCCUGAUCCAGCCAUACCGCGUGGGUGAAGAAGGCCUUCGGGUUGUAAAGCCCUUUUGUUGGGAAAGAAAAGCAGCAGGUUAAUACCCCGCUGUUCUGACGGUACCCAAAGAAUAAGCACCGGCUAACUUCGUG